rnacentral:rRNA from 1 species
CACCCGAUCCCAUCCCGAACUCGGCCNGUGAAAACCCUCUGCGCCGAUGGUACUGCGUCUUAAGGCGUGGGAGAGUAGGUCACCGCCAGGCC